AGAAAGAUAAGCUAAGAAAAGCUAUUAGGUUCAUACCCUGAGAAUAGAAAAUCAUAAUUCUUCUUUCUA
rnacentral:tRNA from 1 species